CCUACGGGAGGCAGCAGUGGGGAAUAUUGCACAAUGGAGGGAACUCUGAUGCAGCGACGCCGCGUGAGUGAAGAAGUAAUUCGUUAUGUAAAGCUCUAGCAGCAGGGAAGAAAGUGACGGUACCUGAAAAAGAAGCUCCGGCGAAAUACGUGCCAGCAGCCGCGGUAAUACGUAGGGAGCAAGCGUUAGCCGGAUUUACUGGGUGUACAGGGAGAGUAGGUGGCAGAGCAAGUCCGAAGUGAAAACCCAAAGCUCAACUAUGGGAAUGCUUGCGAAACUGCUCAGCUAGAGUGCAGGAGAGGCAAGUGGCAUUCUUAGUGUAGCGGUGACAUGCGUAGAUCUUCGGAGGCCCACCAGUGGCGAAGGCGGCUUGCUGGACUGUAACUGACACUGUGGCUCGACCGCGUGGGGAGCAAACAGGCUUAGAUACCCGGGUAGUC
rnacentral:rRNA from 1 species